rnacentral:rRNA from 1 species
GUGUACACAAGAUAGAGCUCUCAUCAAGUUUUAUUAAACUUUACAAUUAAAUCCACCUUCAAAAGUUGUUUCAGAAACUAAAUCCGUAUUAAUCUUAUAAUUGUAACCCACCUCUAUCUUUUAUAUAAGCUGCACCUUUACUUGAAGUAGAUGAAUAUUUCAUAAAGGAAAGUUUUCUAAAAAAACUGACUGACAACAGCGGUAUACAAACUGAUUACAAAUAAAAGUAGAGUAUAUUCGUGGCUCAUCGUUUAUAGGGCAGGUUCCUCUAAAUGGCUAUCUUGCCGCCAAAUCCGUUAAAUUUCAUUAUUUAUACUAUUCCAAAAUUUAUUAUUUAUAAGUA